AUUGAACGCUGGCGGCAGGCCUAACACAUGCAAGUCGAGCGAGCGGCGGACGGGUGAGUAAUGUAUGGGGACUGACCGAUAGAGGGGGAUAACUACUGGAAACGGUGGCUAAUACCGCAUACUGUCGGAUAACCCAUAUGGGAUUAGCUAGUAGGUAAGGUAAUGUCUUACCUAGGCGACGAUCCCUAGCUGGUCUGAGAGUAUGGUCAGCCCACCGGGGGUUGAGUCACGGCCCAACCUCCUACGGAGGAAGCAGGGGGGCAUAUUGCAGUGCGGGCGAAAGCCUGAUGCCGCCAUGCCGCGCGUAUUGACAGGGCCCUAGGUUUUUAAAGUACAUGCAGUUGGGCGGGGUUACCGACAGAAGAUGCACCGGCUCACUCUGUGCGAGCAGCCGCGGUAAUAC
rnacentral:rRNA from 1 species